CAUCUUAUCACAGUCUCUUUGUGAGACGCAAAUAGCACACUAAUGUUUUCUUUUGUUAGGGUGAGUUGGCAAUCUCCUCAGAGAUGGAGCAACUACAGACAGCUCUUUUUUUUGAUAAUCUUCCUGACACUUGGAUGAGACUGGCUUAUCCAUCAACAUACAGUUGCUCAGUGGAGCCUCCUGAGUAAGGCAAAGAGCCACUGACUGAUGGAGUGAACGAGGACUGGAGAGCUGACCAAAGGACAGGAAAGCUCUGCCAAGCACAAAGACAGGUAGCACUAGAAGGCAAAACAAGCCCACUCUUCUGAGAUCAGUACAGACUUCUGAGAGAUCAAAAGUGGAAGAAGAAAUCUUGUUCAUCAGAAGACACAUUGAGAAGAGCAUCAGAGACAGGACCAGACUGCAAGGGAAAGCCUGGAGAGGAUUUCCAUGCUUUAAAAAGAGAAACAGGGGAAGACUGAAUUUCUUGAGGUCACUGAGGAAACGCAUGGCAGCGCUAGGAAAAGAAGCACUCGAGCAGCCGAGAUACCAUCUUCACAGCCAAAACCAGAUGGGUUUUCUCUGCAGUAUGACAUAACAGCAAAGACAGAGCAGGUCUGUGGAUUUUGUGGCAAUGAAGUUAAAUAAGGUUAAUUUCUGGGUGGUUGAGAGAUGUUUUUGUAAUUGCAUCACGGCAAAAG
rnacentral:lncRNA from 1 species